GAGUACUAUGAGAAGGAAAGCUGUGUGCAUUAUAUUCACAAUAUCAGUGUUCCUCUCUUCUUGAUGAACUCUUCAGAUGAUCCAUUAGUCCACCAGUCACUGCUGACGAUACCUCGCACACUAGCAGAAAAGAAACAAAAUGUUAUCUUUGCACUGACACUACAUGGGGGUCAUCUCGGCUUCUUUGAAGGCGCUUUUCUCUUUCCUCAGCCUCUUUCCUGGAUGGACAAAGUCAUAGUCAGUUACGCCAACGCUAUCUGCCAAUGGGAGAAACACAGGCCGCAAUGCCAGUAGGAGAAAUCAUGCUUUGUGCAACACUAAGCAUAAUGCUUUAUGGGGUUCUCUCGAUUGAGUUGAGGUUAGAUGAUGGUUUCUAAAGGUCUGACUCACUAGAGUUUGCUCUGGCCUUCAAGAACGAAUUCCAGAGAAAGCACAUACGGUAAUAAAUUAUACUUACCGUAAAUUGCGUCAGAUGUCAGUGGUGUAUAGUUACAAAGCCUGACAAAGUGUGCUGAGGGAUUCGUGAAAUGAUUUGGAAAGUUUAUUUGCGGAAAAACAUAUCUGGCAAGAGGAGAUGGUAACCCAAAGUUCACCAGCUGUCAUUUACAUAGAUUUUCCUACACUGUGAUGUUAGCCUAUCUCAAAUAAAAACUCAUCAAAUUACCUUUACAAGAUGUUAAAACUUUGAUUAAAUUGUUAAUUAUUUAUUGAUGAUUUUUGAAGUUCAAUAUAAUUUGAAAGUUUGCACUUAAAUUGAAAUGGUUCUCAUUUUCUUUUGAAAGGUCUGUCAAGGUUGCCUUAUGUUUAAUUGACACUUGACACUAACAUGGUACUUUUAAUUGUAUCAUUUUAUCACUACUUCAGUGGCACAAUCAUUUUCAGUAAAUGUAUUUAAUAAAUAGUUUCCUGUAGUUGGAAG